UGACAAAACGGAAUUCCUGCAUCGUGUGCCUGCCUGUCACUGAAGACAAGGAAGAUGAAUAAUCACAGAAAUGCAGAGUAUCCAGGAGUGUGCUAGUGACAUGGUUAGCUGCCAGGGCGUCCUAAGGCCAACUAAUGUGUGAAUGCGGAAACUGGGAUUAGAGACAAAUGAAAUGCACUGGAACCAGUAGUACCUGACAAAUGGUGAUAAUAAAG